GGGUGUGGCUCAGUGGUAGAGUGUUUGCCUGGCAUGUGUGAGGCAUUGGGUUUGAUUCUCAGCACCACA
rnacentral:tRNA from 1 species